rnacentral:rRNA from 1 species
GACGAACGCUGGCGGCGUGCUUAACACAUGCAAGUCGAACGGAAAGGCCCUGCUUUUGUGGUGUGCUCGAGUGCCGAACGGGUGAGUAACACGUGAGUAACCUGCCCUUGACUUUGGGAUAACUUCAGGAAACUGGGGCUAAUCUCGGAUAGGAUCUCCUGCUGCAGGGUGGGGGUUGGAACGUUUCGGCGGUUGGGGAUGGACUCGCGGCUUAUCAGCUUGUUGGUUGGGUAGUGGCUUACCAAGGCUUUGACGGGUAGCCGGCCUGAGAGGGUGACCGGCGACAUUGGGACUGAGAUACGGCCCAGACUCGUACAGGAGGCAGCAGUGGCGAAUAUUGCACAGCGGGCGGAAGCCUGAUGCAACAACGCCGCGUGCGGGAUGACGGCCUUCGGGUUGUAAACCGCUUCCGCCUGUGACGAAGCGUUAGUGACGGUAAUGGGUGAAGAAGCACCGGCUAACUACGUA